rnacentral:rRNA from 1 species
CAAUAGCGUAUAUUAAAGUUGUUGCGGUUAAAAAGCUCGUAGUUGGAUUUCUGUGGAGGACGGCCGGUCCGCUUUAUGAGCGUGUAUCUGGUACGGCCUUCGCAUCCUCUUGUGGAACGUUGCGGUGCUUGGUUGCAUUGCACGGAACGCAAGACUUUUACUUUGAGGAAAUUAGAGUGUUCACGGCAGGCAUGCGCCUUGAAUAUAUUAGCAUGGAAUAAUAAUAUAGGCUCCUCGCCCUACUUUUGUUGGUUUCUUAGAGCGGAGAGAAUGGUUAAUAGGGAGUAAUUGGGGGCGACUCGUACUAGAGCGUCAGAGGUGGAAUUCUUAGAUUGCUCUAUGACGAACUACUGCGAAAGCAUUUGCCAAGGAUGUUUUCUAUUGAUCAAGAACGAAAGUUUAGGGG